rnacentral:rRNA from 1 species
ACAUAUGACCAUACCCGUUGGAAAACUCGGGAUCCCGUCCGCUCCCCCCAUAGAUAAGCCAAUGAGGGCUGGGGCUGGAGUAGUAGUCAGGUCGGUGACGACUGGCGAAUGCCUGGUGUUGUAUGUU